GCGACGGGACGUGCGCGCACCCUGUGGCCGUCGCCGACGACCUGGACGGCUUCGACGUGACGCUCGUCGUGCUGGACGACGAAGGUUACGUCACGGCGUCGCUCGCCGUGCCCUUCGAAGUGCACGGCGUGGCCGCGCUCUCGCUCUCCCAGGACGUCCUGCAGGUGGCGGUCGACCCUCGAUCGGGGGGCGCGUACGAGGUCACGCUGGCCGGCCCUCGCCCCCUCCCGCGGCCACUCUGGAGUGCCAGCUGGGUCACCGUGUCGUGUCUGGUUCGCUGGGGUGGACGCGCCCCCCGCGGUGACCGUCAGGAAGGGGUCCAACGCCAUCUAUGAGGCUACAUCAGGCUCGCCUCCCCGGCGUCCCGGGUCGAGCGCCUGACCUCGCGCGACGCCGACGCCAG